UACGGAGGGUGCAAGCGUUAUCCGGAUUCACUGGGUUUAAAGGGUGCGUAGGCGGGCAGGUAAGUCCGUGGUGAAAUCCCCGAGCUUAACUCGGAACGGUCAAGUGAUACUGUCGGACUAGAGUACAGAAGGGGCAACUGGAAUUCUCGGUGUAGCGGUGAAAUGCGUAGAUAUCGAGAGGAACACCUGCGGCGAAGGCGGGUUGCUGGGCUGAUACUGACGCUGAGGCGCGAAAGCCAGGGGAGCGAACGGG
rnacentral:rRNA from 1 species